UACGGAGGGAGCUAGCGUUGUUCGGAAUUACUGGGCGUAAAGCGCGCGUAGGCGGUUACUCAAGUCAGAGGUGAAAGCCCGGGGCUCAACCCCGGAACUGCCUUUGAAACUAGGUUGCUAGAAUCUUGGAGAGGUCAGUGGAAUUCCGAGUGUAGAGGUGAAAUUCGUAGAUAUUCGGAAGAACACCAGUGGCGAAGGCGACUGACUGGACAAGUAUUGACGCUGAGGUGCGAAAGCGUGGGGAGCAAACAGGG
rnacentral:rRNA from 1 species